GGGAGGGGCCGGGGUCAGGAGCCCGGGGGACCCCAGGUCCCGGGGCCGGUGGGCCGGGCCUCCUUGGGGCCGCUCCGCGCGCCAGCCCCCCCAGACCAGAGCCAGCGGCAGCCGACCCGCAGAUUCCUCAUUAGCCAAAGGAGCUCCUUAGAGGGGACAGUUCGCCGCCGCUGUGGGGAGUCUUCUCUCCUGUAAGGACACCAAAGAGGAACGGAGCACACGCUGGAGGCAGGCAGUGUCGGCAGAGAGGAGUCUCACACCCAUGCGGGGCAGCAGCGGCCGGGCAGCAGGGGCACCCAGCAGGUGCCACGGGGGCCAUCACCCACACUGCUCCUGUGAGCAUCGAAUAAGAUGCCUCCUGAUGGACAUGCACCCUCACCUUUCUCGGGUACAUUCUGGGACUGCAGUUGCCGGAUCACAGCACUUGUACGCUUGACUUCAUUAGAAAAUGCCGAUCAAUUUUCCAAAGAGAGUUUAACAUUUCCUGCAGCAGGUAUGACAGUUCCAGCUGGACCACAUUUUGGCCAACAGUUCUUAUUAUCAAUCCCUUGGUUUUGGGUGUGAAAUGGUACCCUACUGUGGUUUAAUUUGCAUUUUCCUCAUUGCUAAAGAAGUUGUGAACAUUUCACAUGCUUCUUAGCCGUUUGGAUUUCUUCUUUAACACAGUUAAACAUAGUUCAAGUCUUUUGACAAUUUUAACAGUGUUCUUUUUGUUUUACCUAUUGAUUUGGCAUUGUUCUUUGCAUAUUCUGGAUAUGAGUUUUUUAUUAGAUCUACUGUUGGGGCGCCUGGGUGGCCUCGGUCGUUUAAGUGGCCAACUCUUAAUUUCAGCUCAGGUCAUGAUCCCACGGUUCAUGGUGUUGAGCCCUGUGUCGGGCUCUGCACUGGCAGCUGGCAGCGCAGAACCUGCUUAGGAUUCUCUCUUUCUCUCUCUGCCCCUACCCCCGUCAGAAUAAAUAAAUAAACUUAAAAAGAAAGAUAUAUCUACUGUGAAUAUUUUCCCCAGUCUAUAGAUGUCUUUUAAACUUGCUUUUGAUGAGUGAGAGUUUUAAAUUUUGAUAAAGAAAGAGAGAAAGGAAACAAAACAAGAAAGAAGAAAGAAAGAAAGAAAGAAAGAAAGAAAGAAAGAAAGAAAAGAAAGAAAGAAAGAAAGAAAGAAAGAAAAAAGUAAACGAAGGAAGGAAGGAAGGUAUAAAGAUUGGUAAGAAAGAAAUGAAGCUUUCUUUGUUUGCAGAUUACAUGAUUGCCUAUGUAGCAAAUCUGAAAUAGUUGCCAAAAAAUUCUGGAUUUAAUAAGCAAUUAUAACAAGAUUACAGGAUACAAGGUCAGUAUACAAAAGUCAAUCACUUACCUCUAUACCAGCAAUGAACAAGUGGAGUUUGAAAUAAAAAAACAUAAUAUCAGUUACAUUAGAACCCCCAAAUGAAAUACUUAGGUAUACACUUAACAAAGUUCAUGUGUAAGAUCUGCAUGAGAAAAACUAUAAAACUCUGAUGAAAGGUAAUCAAAGAACUAAAUAAAUGGGGAGAUAGUCCAUGUUGAUGAAACGGAAUUCACAACAUCAGCAUGUCGGUUUUCCCCAGCUGUCUCUAUAGAUUGAAUGCAAUCCCGAUCAAAGUUCCAGCAAGUUUUUGUGCAGAGAUUGGCAAGCUGAUUCUAACAUUUAUAUGUACAGGCAAAAGACCCCAUAGCCAAUACACUAUUAAGGGAGAAGAACAAAGUUUGAGGACUGGCAGUGUCCAACGUCAAGACCUACUGUAAAGCUACAGUAAUCAAGACUGUGUGGUAUUAGCAGAAGAAUGGACAAAUAGAUCAAUGGGACAGAAUACAGAGCCCAGAAAUAGACCCCAUAAAUAUGUGCAGCAGAUUAGCAUAAUGAAAAGAUGCUCCACAUCACAUGUCAUUAGGGAAUUAUAAAUUAAAACAAAGAAAAACAACAGUGAGAUUCCAGGGCACACCUGUUGGAACAGCCAGAGCCUGACGCUGACAACGGCCGUGCUGAUGAGGACACAGGACUGUCAUUCACUGCUGGCGGGAAAGGUGCAGCCGCUUUGGAGGACGGUUUGGCAGUCACAACACUAAACAUACUCUCACCAUACGCCCCAGCAACCAUGCUCCUUGAUUUCGACCCAAAUGGGCUGAAAACAUGUCCACACAAUAAUCUGCAUGCGCAUGUUUAUAGCAGCUUUAUUCAUAAUUGCAAAACCCUGGAAACAACUAAGACAUCCUUCAGUAGAUGAAUGGAUAAACAGAUUGUGGUACACUGGAGGAAACUUACUUAUUGCUAAGUGAAAGAAACCAGUCUGAAAGGCUACGUAGUAUAUAAUUUCAAGUAUGUGACAUUCUAGAAAAGGCAAAACUGUAGACAAUAAAAAGGCCGAUGGUUGCUGAGAGUUAGUGGGCAGGAAAGAAGCUGUUUAGGGCAGUAUCAGUAUGAUUCUAUAAUGGUGGACACAUGCCAUACACUUGCCAAAACCAUAGAAUGUCCAACACCAAGAGUGAACCCCAACAUAAACCAUGGACGUUGGGCGAUCAUGCUGUCAAUGUAGGUUCACUCACUGAUUAUAGCAAAGGCACCACUCUGGUGCAGAAUUUGGAUAGUGGGAGGCUGCGUGCAGGUGCAGGGCAGAGGGUAUCUGAGAACUUUCUGUACUUUGUGCUCAGUUUUGCUAUGAACCUAAAACUGCUCUGAAAGUGAAAUCUCCCCCCAUCAAGUUUUUAAUUUCUUCCAAAAUAAUGCUGAAAUUUUGACUGAGAUGACAUUAAAUCCAUAGAUUAGUUUGGAGAACAUGGACAGCUUAACAAUAUUGAGUCGCCCAAUCCCAGAAUAUAAUGUAUACCCAAAGUGUUGGGUCUACUUUAUUUAUUUUGUAAUUUUUUUAAUGUUUACUUAUUUUUGACAGAGCAUGCCUGUGGGGGGAGGGGCAGAGAGAGAGGGA